GGAGGUAUAGUUCAAUUGGUAGAGUGCAUGCUUAGCAUGCAUGAGGUCCUGGGUUCAAUCCCCCAUAUUCUG
rnacentral:tRNA from 1 species